CAGGAUGAUGAAUAAGGGCAAACGGUGGAUGCCUUGGCACAAAGAGACGAUGAAGGACGUAGCAGCCUGCGAUAAGCUUCGGAGAGGUGGCAAGCAACCUUUGAUCCGGAGAUUUCCGAAUGGGGAAACCCUCCUAAGUAAACCUUAGGAAGUAUUAUCUGAAUUCAUAGGAUAAUGCGGUGAACCUGGGGAAUUGAAACAUCUUAGUACCCAGAGGAAGAGAAAAUAAAUUGAUCGGAAGAUCAAGCAUUCCCUUAGUAGUGGCGAACGAACGGGGAACAGUCCAAACCUAGAGAGUUUAAAUCCUCGAGAUUUAAAUUUUUUAGGGGUUGUAGGAUGUAACUACCCUUUAAUGGGAGUUGAGAAGUUUUUUUCAUAGCAAAACAAGUUGGAAAUCUUGGCCAUAGAAGGUGAUAGCCCUGUAUGCGAAAUGAAUAAUCUCUCGACCGUUAUUUUCCUGAGUAGGAUGGAACACGUGAAAUUCCAUUUGAACCCGCCGGGACUAUCCGGUAAGACUAAAUACUCUUUGUGACCGAUAGCGUACCAGUACCGUGAGGGAAAGGUGAAAAGCACCCCGGUAAGGGGGAUGAAAUAGUAUCUGAAACCAUUUGCCUACAAGCAACGGAAGCUCAAGAUUCGUUCUGAGUAACCGUGUGCCUAUUGAAGAAUGAGCCAACGAGUUUAUGUAUAUUGCAUGUUUAAUCCCGAUAGGGAGGAGGCAAAGUGAAAGCAAGCCUUAACCGGCGCUUUGCAGUAUGUAUAAGACCCGAAGCCGAGUGAUCUAUCCAUGGCCAGGUUGAAGCCUUCCGAAGGGAAGGUGGAGGACCGAACCGACUAGUCGUGCAACGCUAGCGGAUGAGUUGUGGAUAGCGGAGAAAUUCCAAUCGAACUCGGCAAUAGCUGGUUCUCCUCGAAAUAGCUUUAGGGCUAGCCUUGUAAACUACCUCUCGGGGGUAGAGCACUGAAUGGGUUAGGGCGGUUCGCCGUACCUGACCUAACCAAACUCCGAAUACCGAGAGAGAUUAUUACAGGAGUCAGACUGUGGGGGCUAAGCUUCACUAGUCAAAAGGGAAACAGCCCAGACCGCCAUCUAAGGUCCCAAAAUUAUAGCUAAGUGGUGAAGGUGGUAUUAGAACUUAUACAACCAGGAGGUUGGCUUAGAAGCAGCCAUCCUUUAAAGAUAGCGUAAUAGCUCACUGGUCAAGUUCUUUUGCGCCGAAAAUGUAACGGGGCUAAGCUAUGUACCGAAGAUGCGGAUUGAAUAGUUUUUCGAAACUAUUCAGUGGUAGAGGAGCAUUCCUUAUGCUGUUGAAGCCGGACUCGCGAGAGUCGGUGGAGGUAUAGGAAGCGAGAAUGUUGGCAUGAGUAACACAAAUCUGCGUGAAAACCGUAGACACCGAAAACCCGAGGUUUCCUGGGCAACGUAAAUCGUCCCAGGGUUAGUCGGUCCUAAGGCGAGGCCGAAAGGCGUAGUCGAUGGGUAGCUGGUUAAUAUUCCAGCACUACUAUAUGGUUGUAUACCAUAACGGAUAUUGAAGUUUCGUGCGGUUUUUUGGCUAUAGCCGUUGCGAAAGUGAAAGCGUAAGCGAAAGAGAGCGUUCUUCGGAGUAAUCUCAAUGCGAAACAACAAUGUUCCUAGAAAAGUUGGCUAUGCGCUAACCAUAUAGUAUCCGUACCGCAAACCGACACAGGUGGGUGAGGAGAGAAUCCUCAGGUGUACGAGAGAACCUUUGUUAAGGAACUAGGCAAAACAGCGGCCGUACGUUUGCAAUAAGGCCCGCCCAAUUAGUUUCAAUUAAUUGGGCCGCAGCGAAUGACUUCAAGCGACUGUUUACCAAAAACUUAGGUCCCUGCUAAACCGAAAGGUGAUGUAUAGGGGCUGAUGCCUGGCCAGUGUCUGAACGUUAAGGUGAGGGGUGAAGCAUUUAUGUGGAAGCCUCAAUCUGAAGCGCAGAUGAACGCCGGCGGUAACUAUAACCGUCCUAAGGUAGCGAAAUUCCUUGUCGGGUAAGUUCCGACCUGCACGAAUGGCAUAACGACUUGAAGACUGUCUCAACAAAGGACUCGGUGAAAAUACAUAUACCGGUAAAGAUGCCGGUUACCUGCAGCAGGACGAAAAGACCCCGUGAAGCUUUACUACAGCUUGGCAUUGCUAUGAUUGUUCAUAUGUUCAGUAUAGGUGGGAGACUUUGAGCCCGUACCGUUAGGUUCGGGGGAGUCACCAAUGAGAUACCACCCUUUUGUACUAUUAUAGCUAACUUCUUACCAUGAAUCUGGUGGAAGAACAGUGUCUGGUGGGUAGUUUAACUGGGGCGGUUGCCUCCCAAAUUGUAACGGAGGCGUUUACAAAGGUUAGCUAGCUCUCGAUGGAAAUGGGAGUGAUAGUGUAAAGGCACAAGCUAGCUUUACUGCAAGACGUACAUGUCGCGCAGUUACGAAAGUAGAACUUAGUGAUCCGACCGUACGAAAUAGGACGGCGGAAGCUCAUCGGAUAAAAGUUACUCCGGGGAUAACAGGCUAGUCUGGUCCAAGAGCUCACAUCGACGACCAGGUUCGGCACCUCGAUGUCGGCUCGUCGCAUCCUGGGGGUGAAGAAGCUCCCAAGGGUUGGGCUGUUCGCCCAUUAAAGCGGCACGCGAGCUGGGUUCAGAACGUCGUGAGACAGUUCGGUCUCCUAUCCGCUGCAGGCGUUGAAUACUGAGAAGGCUAUUCCCUAGUACGAGAGGACCGGGAAGAACGAACCUCUGGUGCACCAGUUGUCCUGCCAAGGGCAUUGCUGGGUAGCUAUGUUCGGUUUGGAUAAGUGCUGAAAGCAUCUAAGCACGAAGCCGUCUUCAAGAUUAGUAUUCUUAGACUCCUCGUAGACGACGAGGUUGAUAGGCCACAGGUAUAAGUGUAGCAAUGCAUUAAGCCGAGUGGUACUAAUAAGUCGUUUCAUCCUGAC
rnacentral:rRNA from 1 species